rnacentral:lncRNA from 1 species
GGGCACCAGGACCUCAAGGAUUUCAAGGGGACCCUGGUUUGCCUGGAACAGGUGAAUUAAUCCCAGGAAGACCAGGAUUUCCUGGACCACCCGGCCUGCCAGGGCAGCCAGGAAGACAAGGCUUACCUGGACUACCCAGUGUAAUCUGUACUGACAGAGGGAUCCCUGGAGAACCUGGACCCAAAGGUCAGAUUGGCCUUCCAGGAAGAAAAGGGGCAAAAGGAGAGAAGGGAAGUCAAGGCCUCUGCUCAUGUAGUGCUGGUCCUCCUGGUGCCCGUGGUGUGCAAGGACCUGCAGGUACUCCAGGAAGGAAAGGACAAAUGGGGUCCCCUGGAAGACACGGAGAAAAGGGCGACCCCGGCUUUUCUGGUGCAGUGGGAUCACCAGGGCUCCCUGUGAGUGAUUCUCAUGAGCUUCACUAAACAACAUCAAGCUUCCUCUCAACUCAGCAGGCAUUUAAGCAGAAUGGUGGAGAAAGUGCCCUGGAAAAUUAUCUGGAACUUUUAUCUACUUUAGCUUAAUACAGUCUAGUGAAACAAGCUUUUACUUUUGGAGUAGACUUACUUUCUUUAAUGUGCUUCAUAUAGUUUAUCUUAGUCCCCAGAGUGAGCAGUAAUUCAAAACACCACUUAAUCUAACUGCUUUAGGAACACAGUAUAUGAUAAUUUAUUGGUCUUGCUGUGAUUUUGAUCUACUUCUU